AUACACACUUCUAAAAUUUUCUCUCAAGAACAAGCACUAGGAUUCCAAUCCAAGAUUCAAGUCUCAAAGAAUUCACCAUAAUUUUUCAGAUCUAAUAAUCUAAGAUAAAAAGGGGCGCUUGGGCCUUCAUGGUUCGGGAUGCUCGUCGUGGCCAAGGCUCCAGCUCGGGUUAUGACAAACUUGGUAUCAAAGCAUGGUUCAUGGUCCCAGGGUGUCUGUAAUCGAGUAGAUUAUGGGUGUGUAGCGCGCCACACUUAUAAGCAGGAGGCUACAGGGCGUGAUUCUGAGACACAGUCCUGGGGUUCCGUUAAGCAGUUGAUUGACUUGUCAGAAGUUUGCAAUUGGUGAGCCUCCCUUACUUUGAGAGGCCUGUAUUAGAACUUGUUGUUGUUAUUUCAUUUUUGAUUCAUGGUCCGACUGGGGGCCUUGUCCCAGCUGUCAGGCAGAUGUCCUUCAGUUGUUAGAGAUUUCCCAGACUAGUGUUAGAUGUUGUUGAUCUUUAUGAACUCAUUUCGGUAUUGAGUAGUUUGAAAUUAAAAGUUGACCAUGAUUCCAUUGUAAUACUUUUCCUCAUUUUUCUCCUUAUUGUAUAUGAAUGGUGUUCAUGAUUGCCAAAUAGAAAGGGGCACUCCGGCCUUCAUGAUUCGGGAUGCUCAUCGAGGCCAGGACCCUGGUUCGGAUCU